rnacentral:lncRNA from 1 species
CUUCUCCUUCACAAGCCUUGGGUCUGUGUGCUUUCCUCUCAACAGAUGGGAUCUCCAAUGCGUGCCAGCCCAUUGGACUGGAAAACGGCGCCAACCCGCCAGCUGAAUGGUUCCCGCACAGCCAGGGUCCAGGGUUGCGGCCGCCCAACAGCGAAGUGGACGGCAGCGAGAGGAACUUCAGGGUGAACCUUCACUGCAAGUAUGGGCGGCCUAGAGAAUUCAAGUGUAACAGCAGGAGCAGCAAAACAGAAGGCUCAGGCAGCACAUUUCCAGACGUCCAUCCAAGCAAUUGUUCCACCAAGAGGCACGCAAGUGAAGAUGAGCUGAGGAAGCGGCUGAAAUCCCAGGGGUCAGCAUUACUGUCAACCGGAGGUGCUCUGCGCAGCACUUCCUCUUCUGACUACAUCCAAGAGCCAAAGUUCUUUCAGUCAGGACAUCCUGGGCAAAAGACAUCUGGGUGCCUGGCAG